UACGGGGGGAGCAAGCGUUGUUCGGAUUUACUGGGCGUAAAGGGCGCGCAGGCGGUACGGCACGUCCGUUGUGAAAUCGCUCGGCUCAACUGGGCGGGGUCAGCGGAUACGGCCGCACUUGAGCAAGCUAGGGGGCAAUGGAAUUCCCGGUGUAGUGGUGGAAUGCGUAGAUAUCGGGAGGAACACCAGUGGCGAAGGCGGUUGCCUGGAGCUUUGCUGACGCUGAGGCGCGAAAGCGUGGGGAGCGAUCCGG
rnacentral:rRNA from 1 species